rnacentral:rRNA from 1 species
AAGGAUCAUUAACGAAUAUAAUUCGAGGGGUUGUCGCUGGCCUCGCUCGCGCGAGGCAUGUGCACGCUUCUCGUUUUUNUCUCNACUCACCUGUGCACCUAAUGUAGGAUGCCUCUCCUCCGGGAGGGGGGACCUAUGUCUUCGUAACAUCUUCGUGUAGAAAGUCUUUGAAUGUUUACUAUCAUCGAGUCGCGACUUCUAGGAGACGCGAUUCUUUGAGAUAAAAGUUAUUACAACUUUCAGCAACGGAUCUCUUGGCUCUCGCAUCGAUGAAGAACGCAGCGAAAAGCGAUAUGUAAUGUGAAUUGCAGAUCUACAGUGAAUCAUCGAAUCUUUGAACGCACCUUGCGCUCCUCGGUGUUCCGAGGAGCAUGCCUGUUUGAGUGUCAGUAAAUUCUCAACCCCUCUCGAUUAGCUUCGAGAGGGCGCUUGGAUAGUGGAGGUUGCCGGAGACUUGGAUUCGUCCGAGACUCGGGCUCUUCUGAAAUGCAUCGGCUUGCGGUCGACUUUCGACUAUGCGCGACAAGGCUUUCGGCGUGAUAAUGAUCGCCGUUCGCUGAAGCGCAUGACUGAACGUCCCGUGCCUCUAAUACGUCGACCGCUUAUUAUCUCUCCGGAGAGAACAGGGUCUUCCUAAUUGACUUUUGACCUCAAAUCAGGUAGGACUACCCGCUGAACUUAA